rnacentral:tRNA from 1 species
GGUGUUAUGGCUCAGUGGUAGAGCACUCACCUAACACAUGCGAGGCCCUGGGUUCUAUUCUCAGCAUCACAU